rnacentral:rRNA from 1 species
GAUGAACGCUGGCGGCGUGCCUAACACAUGCAAGUCGAGCGAUUUACUUCGGUAAAGAGCGGCGGACGGGUGAGUAACGCGUGGGUAACCUGCCCUGUACACACGGAUAACAUACCGAAAGGUAUGCUAAUACUAGAUAAUAUGCUUUUAUCGCAUGGUAGAAGUAUCAAAGCUUUUGCGGUACAGGAUGGACCCGCGUCUGAUUAGCUAGUUGGUGAGGUAACGGCUCACCAAGGCGACGAUCAGUAGCCGACCUGAGAGGGUGAUCGGCCACAUUGGAACUGAGACACGGUCCAAACUCCUACGGGAGGCAGCAGUGGGGAAUAUUGCACAAUGGGCGAAAGCCUGAUGCAGCAACGCCGCGUGAGAGAUGAAGGCCUUCGGGUCGUAAAGCUCUGUCCUCAAGGAAGAUAAUGACGGUACUUGAGGAGGAAGCCCCGGCUAACUACGUG